UACGGGGGGAGCAAGCGUUGUUCGGAUUUACUGGGCGUAAAGGCGCGUAGGCGGCGUGACAAGUCACUUGUGAAAUCUCCGGGCUUAACUCGGAACGGUCAAGUGAUACUGUCGGACUAGAGUACAGAAGGGGCAACUGGAAUUCUCGGUGUAGCGGUGAAAUGCGUAGAUAUCGAGAGGAACACCUGCGGCGAAGGCGGGUUGCUGGGCUGAUACUGACGCUGAGGCGCGAAAGCCAGGGAGCGAACGGG
rnacentral:rRNA from 1 species